AUAGGGAUGUGUUCACUGAUAUAUUACAGUAUAAGAUUUGUUCACAUAUCCUUAUUUAUAGUUUAACGACAUACCGGUAGUAUUAUUUCUAAAAUGCUUCACUUUAAUUUUAUGUGGUGUAAGUUGAGUUUGUUUUUUUUGCGCAUGACUUUUCAAACAGGGGUACACUGUACGGAAUCAAAAGUACAUUUUAAAGUUUGUAGCUAAAUGUAUGCAUAACAAAGAAAGUGGAAAUGGCCUGGCAAUUUAUCAGAGAAAUUUAUUUAGAAGAUGACAUUUUUUAUGAUCAGUGAGAGCAUGGGUGCUGGUUGUUUUGUACUUAAACUGCAGAGUUUGCGAGAGUGUCAUAUUUUGAUGGCUUUUUAUAAUUUAUUUGGUGAUUUCAAAACAUGCAAUAGCUUCAUUCCAGCUGGAAAGUGAAUAGAAAUAAAUAAGAUGUAAAUAU
rnacentral:misc_RNA from 1 species